UGGAGGGGGCGGGGUAAGGAAGGCGGAAGUGAGAUGAUACUUUUAAAAAAAGUAUUAGAACGGAACACACACGAUGAACAAACAAAAAGUAUAUGCUGUACAUACAAUUUUGGCAACAACUUCAAGGCACAAGGCACAAGGCACAAGGCACAAGUUCGCCUGAAGCAAGAGGAUCGUUUCCUUCCUUCCUGAAGAACUAUGCUCUAUUUUCCCACUGACACAUAUAACAGGGACGUCCUUGCAACCUCUGCCUGCUCUCUUCUCCCCUCAGCCUCGCUCUGCCUUCCUCCGUGUGACGAGCCAACGCCCAGUUGCUGCAGUGCAGCUCACGCCUCCUCUUUCCACCCCCACCCAAAAAAAUAUAUGACCCCCAUCUCUCUUUUCUUUCCUCAGUCUUAGCAAUACUUUCCUCUCCUCACUCACACCAGCCUUCUUUCUCCAGCGGUGGGGCAAAGAAAAGUGAUUGUUUUUUUCUUUAAUCCGAUUAAGCUCAAAACUCCAAAUGAAACAAAGAAAGAAUGCAUGCUGUGUGUGCAGAAAGUAAACCUUAUGGCACUUGGCAACACUUAAAAGAGCCAUCCUGACUCAUGCCUGUCAUAAUCAUUUCUGAAUGCAUAAACACAACUGGGGGGAAAAAACCCCAAAACAAUAUUUGAUAGUGCUGCAGUGGGCAAAAAGUUGGUUUCAGUUUGGCACUUUUCCAACCUCAACCCUAAUAUUAGCAGUUAUCAUGACUGGUUUAGAACAUUAUACACCAGUAGCAUCCAGUGGGAAGCCCAGGCAGCAGAUGUGGUGCCUGGCAUGCUAUAGGAAUAAAAAUAAACUAAUAAACUAAUAAAAACAGAAAAAAUGGGUGUAAAAAAGGGAGGAAAAAAAGCAUAAUACAGUGAGAAAAAUGUAUGCGAAUAACACUGAAUAACCUGCAGUACGUUUUGGCCUUGGAGCAAAACAUUUUAACUACAGCAAAAAUGGGGGGGGGGAAAGAGUAAAUAGAUAUAAUGUAAGGAAAAUGCUAAUAACACUAAUAAUUAAUAGUAAUAUUCUUUGUCACCUAUAACACCAAGUUUUGUCUUUAAAUAUAUAUAAUGUAUCUUUUAGCCUUUUUUUAAAUGCUAAAUUUGCGGCCUUUUUAGGUAGCACCUUUUUAGCGACUGGCUUGUGGCACAUUCUAAAAAUCAAAAAAAAAAAAUAUACAGUAAAAAUUGAACAGAAGAGCAAAGAGAGACAUAAUGUAAAGAAAGAUGUUUAUGCUAAUAACACGAAUAAUACGCUUUGUCAACUAUAACAAAGCUGACACUAUUUUUUUAAAUGCAUAUAAUGUCUUUUUUAGUUACAAAAUUUGUGAACUGCAGCACAUUUUUAAAAAUAAAAUGACACAAUGACAAAAUGGGAAAAAGAGAGCAAAACGUCCUAAUGUAAUGAGAAAAAGCUGACAUCUUAUGUUUCCUGUUUAUACUUUUAUACUUUGCGGUUUAUCCACAUAAACCAGCCGGAGGCGCCAAACACCUUCUCCCCAAACGAGUCGGGGGUUUCCUUCCUGUCACCCACUUCCACCAGUGACCUGCUGACACAGACAGCCUCAAAGGUUGGGCAAUGAGUCGAGCAUCUUAGAAAUAUGGCAUCCUUUUUUAUUUCAAUCCAACAGUUUUCUUGCAAAAGAGCAGCUGUCUUAUAUUCUGUGUUGUCCUGAUUUCACUACAACAAGCAGUAAAAUCCAACAGUACUUUUGUAGAAAUGUGCUUUGUGUGAUACACUGUACGUCUAACUUCCUGACAUUGUCCCAUGGAGGCAGCGCCGUCAUUCAAACAUCCCGGUGGACACGACCGACAUAUGACAUUGAUCUAUUGGCAUUUAGGGUGGAGCCCUCGGGUGGAACUCUGCCUAGCAACAAGGAAAAUGUUGCAAGCGAGGAGCAAGAUAGCUCAAGUAUUGUUUCAGUUGUGGAGUCGAAGAUUGAAUCCAUCUUUUAUUGUGUCGUUGUGCAAUUCAGAGUAUAAGCAUUCAAAGAAAAACUGGACAAAAUUGGUUCCAACAGAGGUCGCACUGUGCUGUUAUUUUCUUUGUACAGUAAGGGGUCGGCGCCGCUCCAAAUAAAAACACCACCAAUGGCAGUAUCUGCAGGUACAAAGCUGUCGCAGGCUUGACGUGCAUGUAACUGCAAUGAGGUCACCAUCAGAGCAUUCUGACCAUGACAUUUGGGCCCCAGAACCUAAAGAACACGGUGUUUGCCCGACUGGAGCAGAACCACUGCAGAGCAAACCCACUUACUGGAAUGUAAGCCUUGUAAAACUGGCCCAGUCGAUGAGCAUUGAUCGGGAGCAGCAAAAGAUUUGUCCUCAAGUGCUCUUGAGAGGCUCUUUCCAGUUUUGGAAGGUCAGCAGAUUUCCCAAGAUUACCGCACCACGAAAAUAUUGAAACGGACGCCAAUCUGAAGCGGUCGUACUCGCAGAUAUGGCUGCCAUCAGUGAAAAUGAUUGAGGUUAGAAACCAUACAGAGCUGCCAUGUGGGCUCCUCUCCUCAUCAGCACUCACGGAGAGAAGGUUUGCGCCAUUCUUCUCCUUGACAGGAAGCUACUCUGCAUUAUUGUGGCAUCUUGGCUCCCACAGGCUAACUGAGAUGAUUUCUGGACGUCUGCCAGGCGGAUUUUUUUUUUCCUGCCCUCAAGCUCUUGGAUUGGAACGGAGUGCGUCUGGCAUACCCUUCCCUAAUGAUCAAUGGCUCCUAAUGCAGAGGGGGCCGUGCAUAGCUUGGGAAUUAAAUAAGAACGCCUUUUUUUUUUUCUUGCGUGCCAUAAUGGAUGAAUCACAGAAAUCCGAUUUUUUCCAAUCCAUUCAGCGAUGCAGGUCACACUGAGAAUGUGUUUAGAAAGGUUUUUCAGCUUUCUCUCGGUCAGAUCAAUACGACCGAGGAUUAGGGCCACAUUGAAGGAAAAAAAAUGAUAGAUUUUGGGAAUAAGAUCGUAAAAUUAACGAGAAAAAAGUCAUACAUUUACGAGAAAAAUGUCGGAAAUUUACGAGACAAAAAGUCGUAAUAUUAGGAGAAUAAAGUCUUUAUUCUCCUAAUAUUAUGACUUUUAUUUGUUUCAUUUUAGUUUAAUGUACGACUUCUUUCUCAUAAAUGUGUAUAUAUAUAUUAUUUAAUAUAUAUUAUUUAAUCCUACCCCCUCUCUCUUUCAUAUCAAUUACAAUACAUUUGUUGACUUCCUCUUUGCCAAUGUUAAAUACGUAUCACUGUAAAUACAUUAUAGUGAGUCAUAAGAGUCAUAACAAAUAAUACAUAUGAUGAAAUAAUAAAGGUAAUAGUUGACAGAGACAGUUGGAUUAUGAGUGAGUACAUCACAAUGUACUCACAAGAAAUGAAUAUGAGCAAAAAAUAAGGUCAUUUUGGCACCAUAAUCUUGAAAUUUUAGAGAAGAGACGUUAGAUAGGAAUAUUGUGAAAAACUAACAACAAAUAAAGUUGUCAUUUUUGGAAAAUUAGAUUGCAGAAAAGUUCUAAUGUUAUGGCAAUAAAGUCAUAAUUCUGAGAAGAUAAUUCACAAGAAGAAAGUUGAAAUUGUUGUGGAAAAAAAUGUGUACACGUCAAGAAAACUUUUUACGAGAAUAAAAUCGGUUUCAUUAUAAGGAAAAAUGUCAUUUUAGAGUUGGAAUGUUAAAGUAAAAAUACAUUAUAGUUGUAAUUUUUUGGAAUAUUAGGUUGGGGAAAAAAUUAUAAUAUUAUGGGAAAAAGUAGAAAUAUUACAGUAACAAUAUUACAAAAAGAAAAUUUACAAAUAUUAUUUAAGAAGAGCGUUGAAAUAUUUGGAAAAUAAAAACAGCAAAAAUGGGAAAAGGAGAGCAAAAUCUGAAGUUGUUACUAAUAAUACGCCUUUUCCCUGAUAUCACAAAGCUGAGAUGCAGUUUUUUCUUGAAAUAUGUGUCACUUCUUAGCAUAUCUACACGUGUUGGUUGAUUGACAAAACAUCAAGAUGGCCCGUGCAUGAAAAUGUUUGGACACCCCCACCUAAAAGAAGCCUGGUCUGAUUCAAAUGCUGGAACCUCACUGACACCUACAGUGUGAAGUCAGCAAGUGCAAUAGCAGCAUUCUCAUUGAAAGCAGGAGUAAAACGUAUCAAUCUAAAACGGGGGUGUCCAAAGUGCGGCCCUUGGGUGUUUAAUUUAUUGGUCCACGGCACAUUCUUAAAAUACAACAGCAAACAUAAUUUUACAAGAAUAUAGUAAUGUUAGAAGGAGAAGGAGAAAUAUUAUGAGAAUAAAGCCAUAAUAAAAAAAUGCCUUAUGUAUUAUUAUAAAAUGAUAUUAGGAACAAUAUGUCAUGUUAGAAGUUGACAUUAUUUUAUAUUUCCAUAUAUUAUUUUCUAAAGUUGUAAUAUUAUGGGAGAUAAAACAAAACAAAGAAUGAAGCUGCAAAUUUUGGAUAAUUAGGCUGCGGAAAAAUGAUAUUAGGAGAAUAAAGUCAAUGCUACUUGAAAAAAGUUUUCAUUUUGCGAGAAUAAAAAUAUUAUUGUAUUGUAUUGUAUUGUAUGUACUUUAUUUAUCCCACAGCGGGGAAAUUUACUUGUUACAGCAGCAAGACAAGUAAAGAGAACAGUGUAAAGAAAGCAUAGUGUCUACAACAUGGUUCAGGUGGUGCAGGUGUUGUAGAGCCUGACAGCGGUCGGUAUGAAGGACCUGCGGAACCUCUCCUUCUUACACCGUGGGUGUAACAGUCUGGUGCUGAAGGAGCUGCUCAGGGAAACAACAGUGUCAUGUAGCGGGUGAGAGGUGUUGUUCAUGAUGGAUGUCAGCUUAUGGGAGACAACUUAGGAAGAAUGAAGUUGCAAAUGUUUUUAAAUUAGGUUGGGAGUGAAAAGUGAUAAUAUUACAAGAAUAAUGGCAAAAUAUUAUGGGAAUAAAGUCAUAACAUUAUAAAUUUAGAAAAAAUACAUUUGAGGUGAACUGGUUAGCGUGCUAGCUUGUUAGCUCGCUAGCUAGCGGCCGUCUCGAGCAUCACAUAGACAGACGCCGCAUCGACCGCUGAGUUGUACGUCAAUGUCGCCGCCAUAUUGGAUGUGUCAAGGCUGCGCUGUCAAUGAAUACGAGUAAAUGUACUUACUUUCAUAAAGCUCCUUUCUGCAAAGAAAUUUAAGGUAAUACUUCUCGUUUAUACAUCCAAAAACAAUGUAUUUGAUCUCAC